UUAGAAAGUCACGGCUAAUUACGUGCCAGCAGCCGCGGUAAUACGUAGGUGGCAAGCGUUGUCCGGAUUUAUUGGGCGUAAAGCGAGUGCAGGCGGUUCAAUAAGUCUGAUGUGAAAGCCUUCGGCUCAACCGGAGAAUUGCAUCAGAAACUGGUGAACUUGAGUGCAGAAGAGGACAGUGGAACUCCAUGUGUAGCGGUGGAAUGCGUAGAUAUAUGGAAG
rnacentral:rRNA from 1 species